rnacentral:tRNA from 1 species
GCGGGAAUGCCCGAGUGGUCCAAGGGGGGUGACUUAAGAUCUCCUAGUCGUAAAAGACUGCGUGGGUUCAAACCCCACUUCCCGCA